AGUGAACGCUGGCGGUAGGCCUAACACAUGCAAGUCGAACGGCAGCACAGUAAGAGCUUGCUCUUACGGGUGGCGAGUGGCGGACGGGUGAGGAAUACAUCGGAAUCUACUUUUUCGUGGGGGAUGACGUAGGGAAACUUACGCUAAUACCGUAUACGACCUACGGGUGAAAGCAGGGGAUCUUCGGACCUUGCGCGAUUGAAUGAGCCGAUGUCGGAUUAGCUAGUUGGCGGGGUAAAGGCCCACCAAGGCGACGAUCCGUAGCUGGUCUGAGAGGAUGAUCAGCCACACUGGAACUGAGACACGGUCCAGACUCCUACGGGAGGCAGCAGUGGGGAAUAUUGGACAAUGGGCGCAAGCCUGAUCCAGCCAUACCGCGUGGGUGAAGAAGGCCUUCGGGUUGUAAAGCCCUUUUGUUGGGAAAGAAAAGCAGCAGGUUAAUACCCCGCUGUUCUGACGGUACCCAAAGAAUAAGCACCGGCUAACUUCGUG
rnacentral:rRNA from 1 species